UACAGAGGGGGCAAGCGUUGUUCGGAAUUACUGGGCGUAAAGGGCGCGUAGGCGGCCUGCUAAGUCGAACGUGAAAUCCCUGGGCUCAACCCAGGAACUGCGUCCGAUACUGGUUGGCUUGAAUCCGGGAGAGGGAUGCGGAAUUCCAGGUGUAGCGGUGAAAUGCGUAGAUAUCUGGAGGAACACCGGUGGCGAAGGCGGCAUCCUGGACCGGCAUUGACGCUGAGGCGCGAAAGCCAGGGGAGAAAACGGG
rnacentral:rRNA from 1 species